rnacentral:rRNA from 1 species
CACCGCGGUUAGACGAGAGGCCCUAGUUGAUAAUCUAACGGCGUAAAGGGUGGUUAGGAAUAACAGGUUUUUAGAGCCAAAUGGCCCCUUGGCCGUCAUACGCUUCUAGGUGUCCGAAGCCCUACACACGAAGGUAGCUCUAAUAUUUACCCGACCCCACGAAAGCUAAGAAA